rnacentral:rRNA from 1 species
UACGGAGGAUGCGAGCGUUAACCGGAAUUAUUGGGCGUAAAGCGUCCGCAGGUGGCACUAUAAGUCGGCUGUCAAAGACUGGGGCUCAACCCUGGAGCGGCGGUGGAAACUGUAGAGCUAGAGAACGGUAGGGGCAGAUGGAAUUCCAAGUGUAGCGGUGAAAUGCGUAGAGAUUGGGAAGAACACCAGUGGCGAAAGCGCUCUGCUAGGUCGGGUCUGACACUCAGGGACGAAAGCUAGGGGAGCGAAUGGG